rnacentral:lncRNA from 1 species
CGACUGCAGGUGGCACUCGCUCGUUCAGCGUGCCAGCGAUAACUCACCGACUCUUCGCAAAGGACACCGUGGCGUGAGAUCCACUAAUUAAUGCCGGCUUCACGUCCAUCCGAGGGACGGCACACACUGAUGCUUUUUCAUGCCUGUGAAACACCAGGAUGACAGUUUAUAGCUAGUUCAGGAUUCAAACCCAGGCUGGACUGGUUAAGGACGAGUGUACGUAAAUUUAGGCCAUCCUGCGAGCUGCACUUCAUCCAUUCAAUUUAAUCAUUUGAAAUAGCUUGCUUAACGUCUUCAAUAAGCUCUCGUCUUGCAGCAUCAAUGCAAAUCAAGAUGUUCCUCUUGUAUGAAGCUCUUUGCUCCUGGUGCUCAACCGUCGAGGUCUUUGCAUCGCGUUCUUCCCGGCAUCUUGUUUGCUAAUUGUUUAAUCUUUCAACGCUCAUUCUUCCAAACAAGUUAUCGUCUGCGAUAUCUACGUGAGGUGUUUAUCACGAUGGCGAUGGUUAAUGAAGACGAAUGAAAUUUACACCUGGGUUGUUUUUUUUUUUGUCCAAGACAGGUGUUGCACACCCCACCUGGCCUGCCCCUCUUCAAAGCGAUCUGAGCCCAUCGAGCAAGUACUCCAUCACCCUCUACUGGCAGGUAACCCCGCGCGCAACAUAUUUCCACGGACUCGUUCAUACCUGCGAGAGCACCUGCACAAAGAAGCCAUCAUGUGCCCCUGUGGGAACGGACGCGACAAACGCAUUUCCUCAACCAUUUGUGGUUGGAACUAGUGCAGAAUCUGGUACCAAUGGAUGUGGAUUGCACCUGCCCGGAGCUGCAAAGCUCUCCAACGCGUGAUGAGGCUUCACCAAUGCUGGAUCCUUGCCACCAGGAGCAGCCAACAGGUUCAAAAGGCCGACUGGAGGGUGCUUAUGUUCAGCCUCAGAGCACCAGCUAUUCUCAUGGCUCAGAGGUAGCCAAAGCAAGCACAAAACACCUUGGACCGCAGAUCGUGUGCCUUCCAACGGAGCAACCGCACAGUUGUUCCAAGUGCAGUGACUGUGGCCGGACUGAAGAGGAACCAUUGAAGCCUGGCUACAUGACAGAUUUCACGCAACCACCAACCCCAUUGCUUAGAACCACAGGUUGUGCAUCAUUGCUACUGGCUUGCUUAUGGUGCCAUUGCUUUGGCUAUCUUCUCAACGUACUACCGCCAUGCUGCCUCAUUCAGAUGGAGGUCGCCUGCAAGUCACUGGGGCUGGCUUGUCUCAGAUGCCCUUUUUUUGAGCUACAAACAGCAGUCAGCGAGCCAACCACCCCAGAGGACAUUCAUUGCCGUUGUAACGUUGACUGCUCAAGAUGCAAUGGCUGUGUGGAUUCCACUGAGCUUGUUGAUCUGUGUGUGGAAUGCUCAAGCUUUUGGCACCAUGGUUAAACAUCUCGAUUGCUUGUGUGGUCAGUUGCUGUAUUAGAGAAAGACAACAACUCUUUGCUGGGACACAGACUGCUGCUGCAGUGAUGUCAUCCCAUUGUUGCACAGGCCAAUACCAAAUAUUAACUUACUCCAGAAUCAAAAUCGAGACGCAAUAUUGCUACUCUGCAGACCAAGUUGAUUGAGACAAAAAAAUUAAAGCCACAGUAUUUGUUUCCACAUUAACAAAAAAUAAAAAUAAAUUGAAUGACUUACUAAUUGUUGUACAAUGAAGCAGAUGCAACAGCUCUCCUGUUGUGUCUGAACCAUCCAUAUUUUAAGUUGUUUGGUCUCAAGUCUGAGUCCAGCCAAAUCUACGAGUUCAAACCCAGAACUCCAAAAGUUUUGGGUUUGGUUACAAAAGUAAUAAAUACACCCUACUCGCAUGACCACUUCAAUUAUUUUGUGGUUGCAAGAAAGAGGUUUCACCCCCAAAGGGGCUUAAUUCGGUAAUUCAUUUUUUUACGAUUGUUCUAUUCUCCCCUUAACCGUUGCUCAAAGCUUAUGAAACAACUCAUAAUGCCAUUUAAGCUUCAUGUGCAUUAUUGUUAAGAACACGUUACUAUGUAUGUAAAAAAAAAAAAACAACACUUAUAGGUGUAACAGACAUAGCUUAUUUGGAAGACCAGGCACGAAAAUUAAAUAACAGAGAAUAACAUCUUUAAAAUAUUUACAAUGGCGAGUUGGAGAGAAUGAAGGUAAAUAAAGAUCUCCAAACUGAGAAGUCUCUAUCACAUCAGAAGGGAGUCAAAAAUGGACAUUUUUACAAUCAAAUUGUUAGUCGAUUGUUUUAGCUUUAGCUUGCAGGGGGAAAUCUUUAAUGUACUUGGAUUGACAAGCAGGCGAAUAAACAGCUAGACGAUAGAACUCAAGACAUCGAGUACUUGGACAACAAUGUAAUGUUUUCUAUCAGUCGAUGUGUUCUGGUCACCAUUUAUUUUCAAUAUCCUCCAAGUGUUCUUCACUCAUCGAAUUCAUCAUAAUUUAUGUUUUUUUUACUGAUCCGCAAGCAUCAUCAAGAGUAGCCAUAGGUGUCCUCACUGGAAGCCCACAGCCGCAAUAAAUCUGCGGCCACUCUGAUUAGAUUCCCCCAGAGAUUGAGUCGAAAAAAGGGAUAAAAAGUUUUUCAGGGUUCGGAAGGGAUGAGUGUAGGGAGGACUGCUCAUUCGUCGCCUGCCAGCUGAUGGAGCCGUAGUCUGAAGACUGGGGAAGUUGGAGGAGGUUUGCAGUGUAUAGGUCUUCCUCAUCAGGCAUUUUUCUUACAAUUAUUCUACCUCCACUGGUAUUCCCACGACAAGCACGUCUCCUUCACCAACUGAUCCACCGUUCAGACAUUAAAAGAACAAGGUUUAGGGUAAGAGGAGGAGGAGGGAGUAAAGAGAAGAGAAGGAGUAGUGAGGUUUUUGGUAGGAGGGUGACUAAAAACACUAUAAUUUUGUGAAGGUCAUUAAUAGGUGGCUCUUAAUAUUCCUGAUCAACUCUCGUACAUGACAUAUUUUGAUUUAAAAAUUGGACCAUUUAUCAUUUCCUUAUCUCCCCUUGCUUCCACAGUCAGGGAAAGAUUUCAUUCCUCACAAAGCCACGAAGGUCACCCCCACGCCACGUCCUAACACCAGCCAGUGGGGACAAGGAGGGCACGGUCCUCAAUGGCUCUGCAACGGCACACGUCUCAAGCCACUGUGGGUUUCAUAGUCGUUCAUUUCCUGUUUGCCUUUAAUCUCCAAAAAUAUUGCCUCGCACGAGAGUGUGAGAUAUUCAUUCGGUGAUGAGCUGUCUGGGGUUUUGCUGGAACUUUCUGUUAUACAUCAGCCUUUAAUGUUUUAGAGCGGCGGCUCAGCAUGGUGGCAUAAAAUAAAGCAC